AGAGGUGGCAAGCGUUGUUCGGAAUUACUGGGCGUGAAGGGCGCGUAGGCGGCCUCCUAAGUCGGACGUGAAAGCCCCAGGCUUAACCUGGGAACUGCGUCCGAUACUGGGAGGCUUGGAUUCGGGAGAGGGAUGUGGAAUUCCAGGUGUAGCGGUGAAAUGCGUGGAUAUCUGGAGGAACACCGGUGGCGAAGGCGGCAUCCUGGACCGAGAUCGACGCUGAGGCGCGAAAGCUAGGGGAGCAAACGGGAUUAGAUACCCCGGUAGUCCUAGCCCUAAACGAUGAGUGCUUGGUGUGGCGGGUAUCGAUCCCUGCCGUGCCGAAGCUAACGCAUUAAGCACUCCGCCUGGGGAGUACGGUCGCAAGGCUG
rnacentral:rRNA from 1 species